GGGAAGGAGGUGCGUGGAUAGCUCCUGGGAGAGGACUGCCUGCACUCCAAGGUGUGGCAGCCAGCCAGCCAGCCGGAGACGGCCCCCAUACACAGGCUUGUGACGUCGCAGAGAGUGGAGAGACCGGAGAGUCCCAGAGAUGGCGAAGUCCAGAGACUCGGGCACUGGAUUCUGGAAAGACGCACAGCAGGUACUAAGAGCCAUCUGUCUACUUAUAUGGUCCCACAGUUAUGGUUCCAGGACUAGCUGCUCCAAGAAGCAGUCAUUCAUUAAUGGUGUCUAGAAACUUUCUGCAUCCCAUCCUGAGGUGAUGUGUAUCCAAGAGGUCGGUGGUAUAUUCUUACUGCUAUAUUCUUAUUAUUCAAGGAAUUGCUAUUCAUGGAGAUUUUAUGGUACAGUUUGAUUCAUUUAGGUUUUUUUACUAUAUUUGACUCUGUGCUUUCUGUCACAUAGGAAGCCACUCCCCCACCAAUGUGACCUACUCUGUCAUUCCUUUAUAUUUUGUACCCUGGUAUUACUGUGUCAUUGGUUAUCAUCUUCCACCAAGCUUCUGUGAUGCCUAUUAUAUCAAUAUCCUCAUUUAAUACCAGCCACUCAAAUUCACUCAUCUUAGUGUUUAGACUUCUACCAUUUGUAUACAAGCACUUAUACAAUUAGUCAAUAUUUAGUUGUCUGCCUCUCUGUGGUGUAAUUGAAUGGGACUGUUUUGGGUCUUACUGUUUCUCUUCAGUUCCUGCCUGCACUUUAUCAAUUUCUAUCUUCUGUUUACUCAGAUGUAGAGUAUCCCCUUUAAUAAAUCCUCCCUUAAGGAAUUCGUCUAAACUUUGUGCCCCACCAUCCCAUUGGCUUUCUUCCCUCCUCUACUUUAAAAACACCUCUACAACCUUUCUAAUUUUGCAUACUAGAAAUCUGGUUCCAUUUUGGUUUAGAUGGAGCUAUAUUUCCUGUAUAAGCUUCUCCUUUCCCCAAAAGUUCCCCAGUUCCUAAUAAACCUAAAUCUCUCCUCCGAACACCAUUGUCUCAUCCACACAUUAAGACCCUCGAGUUCUGCCUGUCUAACUGGCCAUGCAUGUAGAAGUGGAAGCAUUUCAGAGAAUGCUAUGGUAGAGGUCCCGGACUUUAGUCUCCUACCUAGCCGACUAAAUUUGGCCUCCAGGACCUCUCUCCUACUGUUCUGAGCAAUAGACAUUUCUCCAACUCUAUAGUAAUAGGAAUUAUGAGUUUCUCAAUGGUAAUUAGGCACCUAUCUGCCUUUUGUGGCUUUGAUCUCCCUCUCUAUUUACCUUUAACUGUAAAAAUUAAUAACAUAAGUUUAGAUGCACGGUCAAGAAGUCAGAACCUCUUUUUAACGUGGGUCAAAUUCAUCAUUGGUGUAACUCUUCUGCAAGUCAGUGUAGUUAUGCUAGGGAUGGAGUUGGCCUCUUAUUGCCUUUUCUGAUUGAAGGGUCUCAAGUUUUGUUAGGAUGGGCCCACUGCUGGUAUCCAUUCUAUUCAUAGCUCUCCUGCCAAACACUACAUGUAGCCCCAAUCCUGCAGUGAGCAUCAGCUGGGCAGAUACCAGUGCCCCCACAGACCUCAUUGAAAUUCUAUGCAAGUACGGGGGUCCAGCAUGUGGAGCUCAUUGCAGGACUUGGGCCUUAGUUCAGAAAAAAAAAGUCCUAGGGUGACAUUUUACCUUUAAUACAUUUUCAGUGCCAAGUAUGAUGCUUUGGGGAUGUUGUGUAAGACUAUUACAGAACUGCUGUCUGGCUGAUAGCCACUUUUUCAAGCGGUACAUUUUAAGGCACUGUAAUCAUGCUGCACAGUUAUAUGAAAUGAUAUAUUUCAUGCCUGUCAUUUCACCUUUUUAACACUCCUAGUAUUAUUUUUCUUGCCUCUAGCUAAAAUGAAAAGGCAGCAAUGAAUAUAUGUAUUAGGGAUUAUGGAUGGUCAAAGAGAAGCUUCUUGAUGAGCAUAUCCAGUCCAAAGCGAAGGUGACUAAAACGAGGCUGUGGGUGCAUAAGACCUGAUAUUUGCUGAAACUGGAUAACUGUCCUCAUAUUCCCAAUAUCAGCAAUAUGCUUCCUCUCCUGUCUCAAAUACAUUCCAUAUAUUGAUGUAAAAGAUUAAAUCAGGUAAGUCGCAGAUUUCUCUGAAAACGUGAAGAGACUUUGCUUCCCCUUCACCUUCGCCCAUUCACUGACAUUUAUACACAUAUUGAUCUUUUACUAAGCCUUGUCAUUUUAUAACUAUAUAUAAACACAAUUGCCAUAGUAGAUUUAUUGGAGAGCAGAGGAGAAGUAGGUGCUCUGGUAAUUACUAAGGAUUUCAAGAUAUUAACUGCAAACAUCUGAAAUAGGCAGAUGUGCUAAUGUAGCGAAGAGUUUGGACGGUUAUCUUGACACUGAAGUUCUUGUGCUGGUUCCUUGCAAUAAAACUUGGGAGCUCUGUGUUAAAUAACAAUGCAAUAUCACAGUGUAUUUCUGAGUAACUAUAGUAGGCCUCUGACCAUACUCAAAGGCAGCAGGCUGGGAACAACAUGACUUAAACCACCUGGGAAAAUGCAAAUAAUUUCCAAACAGUGCACUGCCUAAUUGUUUGUUUGAUUGUUAUACUCUAUGAAAUUUAUAAAUAAAAAGUUAGGAAGCAAGUCUGAUAUGGGUAUGGCUAGCCAAACAGCAGGCAGUCCUUGCAUUUAGGGUUUGAAAGUUUUCUGUUUAAUUUUGUGCCAACUUCUCAAUACGCUUUGUAUGUAGCUCUUGACUGUAAAAACUAGUAUGAAAUGUCUUUGGAAUUCACUGAACAAAAAUGGAGUUUUCCAAUUGGCUGAAAAGGAUCUUUUACCCAGAUGUCAGUAAAUGCAUGAGCCUAA